AUAUAUGCACAGGAGAUAACAUUGGCUGACGCACAAGCAAGAAGUUGACACCUCAUGCCCCUGACAUCUUGAGAGAGAUUUAACACACUGGCACUAAUUUGAUGCAGAAAGAGAAGCCAGGAGACCAGUGAACGAUGAUCCUUGAAGCUGAAGAAUGUGAGGAAAAUUGUGAAGAGGAAAGAAUAGGACAAAGGGAUUCCAUGUAUGAACCAACAUAAGUCCUGGGCUAUACCUCCAAGCUGUGCAUGUGUGGAAUAUACCUAAACACAUAGCAAAGGCUUUGAAACCUGAACUGACAGUGGAACGUCUG